AGAUGCAAAAUGUUCAUUCCGUCGUCGUUUCGUUUCUGUAUGUAUUUCGCUGGCCAAGAAUUCGAAUAUAAAAAGUCAACAAAAUAAUAAAAUGAAGCAUAUACGAAAGCAGCGAUCGCGCACACACACGGAGACAAACAUAUAUCAAUAACAACUACAUCACCAGAGCGAACAAUAAUGACAGCGGAGAGAAACUAGCGUUAGUUUUGUCUAUGACGUAUGAGAGUGCUGGUACCUGAAAGUUGAGAGCUUCCAGCGGCAACGAGAGAGCAACAAGUUACAACUUCGUGCCAGCAGCGCGCUUUGCAAAAUAGAAAGCGACUAGAAAAAAAGCCGAAACGAAACGAAACGACACGACGACGAAGAUCGGAUCGAUUCGCGUAGAUGUACGUGCACUUUGUCAUGACGUUUGUGUGGGUGUGUGCGACGAGCGACUAUUGGAGAGCAGAGCAAGAAUUCUAAUGCGUCGCAAUCAGCGGGAGAUUGAGCAGCAGCGAGCGUCACAUUGAACUUGAACUUUAAAAUGCAGUCACAGUAACAGGCCGCAUAAAUACGUACAUUUAAACACAAACACACACGCAUACACAUGUAUAAAUAUCCACAUAUAAAUUUAUUGCUGCUAUUCUAGUUUGACGUUUCCUGGGCGCAUACUUAUUUCAUUCGCUCUUCUACAGUCUCUUUGCGUUUGAUCAUUCGCGAAUUGGCACUCGGUUCGUUCGCAUGAAAUUUUCGCCGCUGUAUUUGGCGUUAUAUUUUGUAUUUGCAAUUAAUUCGCUACUUGACGAAAAUGCGAGAAAAGUGAAAGUAAUGAAAGCAAUGAGUGAAAUGAGCUCGUUGGCCCGUGACUUUUAAUUUAUAUUUAACAAGAAAAAUAAAAAGCUGAAAUACAUGUAACGAGUGUACGCAAAGCACGAAGCAACAACUUAAUAAACUGAAACGCGAACGAAAAUCAAACCAGAAGAAAGCGGCGAAUGUGGUUUAUUUACUGUUGCUCAGCUCGGCCCACGCUAACAUUUAGCCAAUAUUCGAGACCGAGAAGAGGAAAACGGAAACAACAUGGAAAGCAUUGAGAGCAAAGUCGUUAUAAUUUGUUUUAUUAAUUUUUUUUUUUGCGGUGCAUUUCCUUAUAAAUCUAGCCUCUACUAGGCUUUGUCUGUGCAUUUGAUAUAAGAUCAGACAUAGCCUAUGAGAGGUUAGGUGUAGCAAGGGGUCAAACAGCAGAGAGCACAUAUAAAAAUGAACUGCCGAUUACCGUAAUAGCGAAACAUCGACCUGAUAACUGUGACGACGAGCAGAAAGAGAAGGAUAUAAUAAAAUGUGGAUAAGAGAACCGCAAAUGUACGUAUGCAUAUGUAUUGAUAAAGAACGGCAAACAUGUGUCUACGUACGUAAGUAUAUACAUAUGUAUGUAUGCGAAACGAACGCCAUGGCGUUCUAAUCUUGUCUUCUACUUUUUUCCCAUUCGCAGCCCAACUGUCGAUAUUUGGAGCGACGCUAACUGUAACUGUUUACACACUAGAAUAAUGUUUAUUUAUUUAUUUAUACAUACAUAUAUAAAUGUCAUUGUCAAUAAAAGCACUUUAACGAUA